rnacentral:rRNA from 1 species
GAUGAACGCUGGCGGCAUGCCUAACACAUGCAAGUCGAUCGGUAAGGCUCUUCGGAGUACACGAGAGGCGGACGGCUGAGUAACGCGUAGGAACACACCCUGCAGUGAGGGAUAAGACACCGAAAGGUGUUCUAAUACCGCAUACGGUCUUCGGAUUAAAGCAUUUAUGCGCUGAAGGAGUGGCCUGCGUCAUAUUAGAUAGUUGGUGAGGUAAUGGCUCACCAAGUCGAUGAUGUGUAGCUGGUCUGAGAGGAUGAUCAGCCAGACUGGAACUGAGACACGGUCCAGACUCCUACGGGAGGCAGCAGUGAGGAAUAUUUCACAAUGAGCGAAAGCUUGAUGGAGCAAUGCCGCGUGCAGGAUGAAGGCCCUCGGGUUGUAAACUGCUUUUAUAAGAGAAGAUUAUGACGGUAACUUAUGAAUAAGGGACGGCUAACUACGU